GGAAGCUUUUGCAUCAGUUUGUUCUGCUAUUUCUCUCUCCAUGGGACAUCCUCUUAUUUGCACUCCAUGGCAUGGAAUGCACACGUCUAGCAAGAAGCCUGAAAACACUUUGGUGUCUGCAUCUCAUGUAGAACUCCGUUUAUCACGGUCCAGUGGAGAAGUUCUUUUGAAGUCAAGUGUCAGGUAUAAAUCACAGGUGGAUUCCUGAUUAAAUCAUCUACAUUAUUGCUAUACGUCACAAUUGACUUCAUUAAGUACUGAGGCAGAGUUUUGGAACAGGAUCAUUUUCUGGCUGGAAAUUGAGUUCUUUUCAUUGGUGGGUAGAACAUUAGGUGGAAGCAACUCAAGUACCUGAGCCCUCAUCAUCCAUGCCUCCUCGGCCGGGCAUCAGCUGGACACUUGGCCUGCAGGAGAGCCCAGACUCAUCAAACCUGAUGUGGCAUGAGAACAACUCAAAACUCAGUUGAACUGUCAAGCCAAACUGCCUCCAUAAAAAUCAGCUAAUGAAAGUAUGAAGCCAAGCUGCUGUUCUGGUGACCGACAUUGCCCGGUGAAGGCAUGCUUCUUACCACCUGAGCCAAGGUGGGCUGUGGUAGCAACCUGGGACAAAAGGACACAAUUCUGCAGUUCUAAUGUGAAGUAUUUCACCGUUCUUCAAGGCCAGCAUUCAAAGCCAACCAAAGAGCAUUCCUCAAAGACGUCGGAAAGCAUGCAUUCUAACUGAAGCCAGAAGAUGUGUCCUACAAACUGAGCCCCAUUCUUUCAUAGAGUUCAAUGAGCAGCCGAGACACUUACACAAAACCUGUGAGGAUCAACCAUUGGGUGUGAGUCAUUGCUCGCCUGUGAUCACCGUUCUAGAACAAGGAUUCGAAGCAGUCUACUUCGAACUCUUUGACAUCGUCACCAUUGGCAUCCAUCUACAGAGAUCUGAAGACAGUGAUGAGAUAAAGUAAUUACCUUCUUCAAAAGGUGAUGCUAGAAAGU